GGGAGUGAAAAAGUAACGAGAGAGUUGAGGAAGGAGCUACGCUGUGUGUUCGACUGCAGCAGUUCCUCCGGCAACGCUGGAUUACUGCGGAUCGGAUCCACUGGACGGGUGACUUUCCAAGCUUCACUGGGGUUUUUACCAUCACAUCCAAAGUGCCACUUGUCCUGGGCUUUCCGGGAUAGUCCCAAGUUCACUCCAGCUCUGCGCCGGCCGUGCGUGUUUGGAACAUGGACGCACGGAUGGAUCACCAAAUUUUCAUAAAUUCAAAGAAGAAAAUGUAACGCUGGAGAGAAACCCCACCAACAAAGAGCGGCGUGACCAUUUGCGCUGAAGGGCCUCCAACGUGAUGUUGAGUUGCUGUGUCCCGCGUUUGUCCUGCUUCCCGGACCGGCACUUCAUGAAACUGUAAGAAAAGAGGGAAGAAUUAUGAGCUGCUGAGAAACCGUAGUCAGCUGUGGAGGAGAAGAUGCCCCUCAGCUGGGAGGUGACUGGUCCCACUGCUUCCAGAAAACCAGCUUCUGGCCCCGUGCACCACUAGCACGCCUGGGUUAUAUACAAGUCUCCGCUGCUUGAAAUGGUGCUCAUCCAGAUAAUUAUCAUGGUAUGCUUAAAAUUAUUUACUGCCUGCAUUAAAAAUGUACUGUACGGUUAUGCACUUCCCACUUUGUGUUAUUCCACAUAGCUUAUUUGUUGAUUUGUGCUUAGACAAAAAUAAAUGCUCAUUCUUCCUUGCCAUUGAAAAAAUAAUAUAGAACCACUUGGAAAAUACUGUCAUGUCAUGUUGGGGUCAUGCACUGGUACAGCGUGUUGCUGCACCCACUACAUGACGAAACACCCCGGGAUCCCAGUUGGUGACCCAAUCAAAUCAAAAUUUUGGGGCUGAAUCUCUUGGUUGAGAAAGGCAAACACUGGCUGGUGAGCCCUGACACCCUGACGGUCAGAAAGAAGGACCUACUGUCAGAAGACGUGGCCUGAACAGGGAGAAAUGCUAAACACAAACGUUACCAGUUCGGUAAACUCUGCCCAAAUGCAGCACAUGUACAAAAAAAACACUCCAAGUUAAAUAGAAAUACUUACGCAAGAGUUUAAGUGGAAUCUUUAUAAUACUAAAACUCUGUCUACCUUUUCAAAAUUACUACGCAUUUUUUGUCAAGGGCUGAUGUAAAUUUCCAUCUGUACUAUCCCGAGUUUCAAAACAAACAGGAUAGAUAUUUGUGUCCUGUACAGCACUUGAGAUAAGUUUUUAAAGGCUAAUGAUGAAAAUGAGCGUGAAUUUUGUGGUCUAAGAGCAAAUCUAGUCCGGAUCAGUUUAAGGGGUAGAAAAAAUCAAGAGUGCUUGUUUAUUUUACAUGUCCACUGUAACUUGGUGUGUGUUUUUACGUCUUCCGAGAAGCCUUCUGCUUUAUGCUUUCAGGUU